UGUAAAUGUCCGUUGGAUCCAGUUGAUUGA
rnacentral:piRNA from 1 species